GAUGAACGCUAGCGGCAGGCUUAAUACAUGCAAGUCGUGGGGCAGCAUGAGUAGCAAUACUUGAUGGCGACCGGCAAACGGGUGAGGAACACGUACACAACCUUCCUUCAAGCGGGGAAUAGCCCAGAGAAAUUUGGAUUAAUACCCCAUAAUAUAUUUGAUAAGGCAUCUUAUUAAUAUUAAAGCUUCGGCACUUGAUGAUGGGUGUGCGGCUGAUUAGAUAGUUGGCGGGGUAACGGCCCACCAAGUCUACGAUCAGUAGCUGAUGUGAGAGCAUGAUCAGCCACACGGGCACUGAGACACGGGCCCGACUCCUACGGGAGGCAGCAGUAAGGAAUAUUGGACAAUGGACGAAAGUCUGAUCCAGCCAUGCCGCGUGAAGGAUUAAGGUCCUCUGGAUUGUAAACUUCUUUUAUAUGGGACGAAAAAGGGCAUUCUUGUUCACUUGACGGUACCAUAUGAAUAAACACCGGCUAACUCCGUG
rnacentral:rRNA from 1 species